rnacentral:rRNA from 1 species
UACGUAGGGAGCAAGCGUUGUUCGGAGUUACUGGGCGUAAAGGGCGUGUAGGCGGUUUUUUAAGUUUGGUGUGAAAUCUCCCGGCUCAACCGGGAGGGUGCGCCGAAAACUGAAGGGCUUGAGUGCGGGAGAGGAGAGUGGAAUUCCUGGUGUAGCGGUGAAAUGCGUAGAUAUCAGGAGGAACACCGGUGGUGUAAACGGCUCUCUGGACCGUAACUGACGCUGAGACACGAAAGCGUGGGUAGCAAACAGG